AUCAUUCAAUGCAUUGUAUUUCUUUGGGCCAGAUCUCUAAAUAUUUCAGUCACUCUGUGCUCAGUACCAGACCCCCUACUACUGUUCUUUCUCUGUACCCCUUCUCAGAUGAUUCCAUCAAUUCCCGUGGCCUUAAUUAACUUUUCUUUGCAACUUACUUCCAGAUUACACCUGUAACCUAACUUUUCUGGACUUCUGACAGGUAUUCUACAGCUGAUUGCUUGGCAUCUCCUAUUAGAAGACUCACAAGCACCUCAAAAUUACUAUAUCCGACACAGAACUCUUUAAUUUUUGUGCCCUAUCUCCUUUCUCUUUCCUUGUCAUUGACAUCUAACUAUGGCACCCUCAUUCAUCUACCAAGUUUUUCAAAGCAGAAAUCUAAGAGUCACCUUUGAUUUUUCUCUUUCCUUCAUGUUCCUCCAAAUUUACCCACUUCAAGUUUUAUCGAUUAUCCUUCUAACUUAUGUCUUCCUUAGAUCAUCUUUUCUUCAGCUCUGCAGCCAUUACCCAAGUCCAGGCCAUCAUUGUCUCUUGCAUGGGCUAUGGCAAUAACCUUCAAACUGGCCUCUUCCUUUUGCCCUUGCCCUCAUUCAAUUCCUUUUUCCUAUAUCAGUCAACAUGAUCUCUUUUUUUUUUUUUUUUUUUUUUUUUUUUGAGACGGAGUCUCGCUCUCCUCCACUCCCCCACCCUAUAAUCCCUCUAUCACUCCCUUCCUCACACC
rnacentral:lncRNA from 10 species